GCAAGUCGAGGGGCAGCAUUAUUUUAGCUUGCUAAAAUAGAUGGCGACCGGCGCACGGGUGAGUAACGCGUAUGCAACCUACCUCUUACAGGGGAAUAGCCCGAAGAAAUUCGGAUUAAUGCCCCAUGGUUCUGUAAUCUCCCAUGAGAUAUCAGAUAAAGUUCCGGCGGUAAGAGAUGGGCAUGCGUUCCAUUAGUUAGUUGGUAAGGUAACGGCUUACCAAGGCAUCGAUGGAUAGGGGUUCUGAGAGGAUAGUC
rnacentral:rRNA from 1 species